CCUACGGGGGGCAGCAGUGAGGAAUAUUGGUCAAUGGACGAGAGUCUGAACCAGCCAAGUAGCGUGAAGGAUGACUGCCCUAUGGGUUGUAAACUUCUUUUAUAUGGGAAUAAAAUGUUCCACGUGUGGGAUUUUGUAUGUACCAUAUGAAUAAGGAUCGGCUAACUCCGUGCCAGCAGCCGCGGUAAUACGGAGGAUCCGAGCGUUAUCCGGAUUUAUUGGGUUUAAAGGGUGCGUAGGUGGAUUGUUAAGUCAGUUGUGAAAGUUUGGGGCUCAACCGUAAAAUUGCAGUUGAAACUGGCAGUCUUGAGUACAGUAGAGGUGGGCGGAAUUCGUGGUGUAGCGGUGAAAUGCUUAGAUAUCACGAAGAACUCCGAUUGCGAAGGCAGUUCACUGGACUGCAACUGACACUGAGGCUCGAAAGUGUGGGUAUCAAACAGGAUUAGAUACCCGAGUAGUC
rnacentral:rRNA from 1 species